GAUGCAUGAAGAAAAAAGGAUUCUAAACCUGACCCAAACAAAAGACAUUGGAUAGACCACUCUGAAGCUCAAAGGACAGGUUAGCACUAGAGGUAUAAAUGAGGAAGGCGUCAUUUUUAUUGGCAGAUGUUCAAAAAUACACGGAAUCUACCUUCUGACAAUGGCAAAACUGUAGGGAUGGAAAAAAGAAUGCCCUGCAUCAAGCCUCUGAGACCACCCCCUGCAGGGUCUCCCUGUGUGACUCCAGUGUGAUACGAUUAUGAAGCUAUUUAUUUAAUGCCUCCUCCCAUCAAAGCCAGAAUGAGAAAAAAGGCCCCACAAUAAUUUCUGCAUAUCUUGAUAACAAAGGAAAUGGUUGUUGAUGAUAAUAAAAAUUGCUGCUCACAGAUUUGCA